UACGUAGGGUGCGAGCGUUGUCCGGAAUUAUUGGGCGUAAAGCGCACGUAGGCGGCCGAAUAAGUCGGAUGUGAAAGCCCUGGGCUCAACCCAGGAAGUGCACUCGAAACUGCUCGGCUUGAAUAUGGAAGAGGGUCGCGGAAUUCCCGGUGUAGAGGUGAAAUUCGUAGAUAUCGGGAGGAACACCAGUGGCGAAGGCGGCGACCUGGGCCAAUAUUGACGCUGAGGUGCGAAAGCGUGGGGAGCAAACAGG
rnacentral:rRNA from 1 species